rnacentral:lncRNA from 1 species
GUUGGUUUCUUUGUUUUGUACCAGUGCAGCAUAUUGUAGGAGUGCUCCAAGAUUUAAAAGUAAAGAAAAAGAAAAAAAGGAAGAUGUGGUAUUGCAUCGAACGCAUCAAAGUGCUCCAGCGUUCCACUGAGCGACGCCCUCGUUCCAAGUCUUCUGCGGCAUCCGAGCUUACCGGUGACGUCACAACCCUCCAGGAUAUAUAAAGGGCUCGCGGACAAUAACGAGGGCUUCUUGGUUUGGGGCUUAGACUGUUGUUGUGUUCUUCAACAGUGCGUCUGCGCCAACACGGUGGCAGUAACGCUACACUUGCCUUCGAGCUAACUUGACUAGCAUUGAAUGGAACCGCCUUCCCGCACCCGCCCUGGUGGCGUACUGGCUAUGGCGUUGCGCUGCUACAAACCCGAGGGCACGGGAUCGAAUCCCGGCCACAUUUCGAUAGGAGUGAAAAUGCGAAGACGCCCGUGUACCGUACAAUGGAUGCACGUGAGCGAACCCCACGUGGUGCAAAUUAAUCCGGAGUCCUUCACUGCGGCAUGCCUCAUAAUAAAAUCGUGGUUUUGGCGUGUAAAACCCCAGAAUUUUAUCACCACCUUCCCGUCUCAGUCGCCGCCAUCAUCAUAGGCACCAAGAGCUUCAAGACUGCCAUCCCUGAGGCUUUUUGUUAAUUUUGUCAUCAAUCUUGAUAACUAGGUCAUCGCCGUUUUUUUUUUUUUUUUUUGCUAUACCUGCACACAGCUUAUAUUUUACCAUUCCUUCCUGUAAUAUCCUGCGGUACUGGAAGUAUGUUACAUAAGUAAAUAAAUAAAUAAAUAAAUAAAUAAUGUUUUUAAUAUUCUUACUGUUAUGCGAGAAAGACUAUCAGUCGAUUACAGAAUGACUAACUGUAUAAUUUAUUUCCAUUUCAAUGAUACGAAACAUUGGAUAAUUGCCACGAGCGUCUAAUGAAAUACAAGAUAUCAGAAAACCUAGCAAAAAAAACACUUUUAACACAACUUUGACUUCCAUGUUGCAUACGGAUCCAAAUUGUUUUAUAAAUACAUUAAUCCUACAAGUUCUGACACCAUAUCUUUGUGUGAAGCAAAUGGCCGCUCCGUUCCUGCAUCUCAUGCCGCGAAUGCGUUAAAUACCACUUUUUGUUCAGUUUUUCACAAAUAAGCCCCCUGACGACCAUCCUGAUUUUCCACACUUGGUGCAUCCACUGAUGAACUGCGUAACGUUUGAGCUGAAUGUUAUCGUCAAAGUAACAUAUUCUUUAAAAUUCACCAUCAGGUGGUGUAGGGGGCGUUAACGCCAGAGUGCUUAAAUGUACUAAACGUUAGAAGCUACAUAUUUUCGCGCAUUUUUCAGCAGUCUCUCGCCCGGUGGGCAUGUUCCAUCUGACUGGCGGAAAGGGAAUAUUGUUCCAGUCUUCAAGAAAGGUGACCAUUAAUGCCUCAGUAACUGUCGUGCCAUCUCCAUUACUAGCGUAUGCUCUAAAAUCAUGGAGCACACAGUACACCCUGCAGGUGCCGUUAUUUUCGGCAACCUGAGGUCAUUUUAUGUGUACCUAAAUCCAAGUAUACGAGGCGCUGGCAAUAUGUUACCAGUGAACCAAUAACCUCGUUAUUAUAACUCC